UGAGGAAUUUUCCGCAAUGGGCGAAAGCCUGACGGAGCAAUGCCGCGUGGAGGUAUAGGCCCGUGGGUCAUAAACUCCUUUUUUCAGAGAAGAAGAUCUGACGGUAUCUGAAGAAUAAGCUCCGGCUAACUCUGUGCCAGCAGCCGCGGUAAUACAGGGGGAGCAAGCGUUAUCCGGAAUGAUUGGGCGUAAAGCGUCUGUAGGUGGUUUAGAAAGUCCACUGUCAAAUCCCAAGGCUUAACCUUGGUCAGGCAUUGGAGUACUUCUAAGCUAGAGUAUGGUAGAGGUAGAGGGAACCCCUAGCGUAACAGUGAAAUGUGUUGAUUUUAGGGAGAACACCAGAGGCGAAGGCGCUCUACUGGGCCAAAACUGACACUGAGAGACGAAAGCUAAAGGAGCG
rnacentral:rRNA from 1 species